UACGAAGGGGGCUAGCGUUGCUCGGAAUCACUGGGCGUAAAGGGUGCGUAGGCGGGUCUUUAAGUCAGAGGUGAAAUCCUGGGGCUCAACUCCAGAACUGCCUUUGAUACUGAAGAUCUUGAGUUCGGGAGAGGUGAGUGGAACUGCGAGUGUAGAGGUGAAAUUCGUAGAUAUUCGCAAGAACACCAGUGGCGAAGGCGGCUCACUGGCCCGAUACUGACGCUGAGGCACGAAAGCGUGGGGAGCAAACAGG
rnacentral:rRNA from 1 species